rnacentral:tRNA from 1 species
GCCCGAGUAGCUCAAUCGGUAGAGCGUGUGGCUCUUAACCUUAAGGUCGCGGGUUCGAGCCCCGCCUUGGGCU